GACGAACGCUGGCGGCGUGCCUAAUACAUGCAAGUCGAACGCAGUGGGGACGGGUGAGUAACACGUUGGUAACCUCCCAUCAGAGGGGAUAACACUUGGAAACAGGUGCUAAACCGAUACUGAUGGAUGGACCCGCGGGGCAUUAGCUAGUUGGUGAGGUAACGGCUCCGCACGGCAACGAUGCAUAGUCGACCUGAGAGGUGGAUCGGCCACACGGGGACUGAGACACGGCCCAGACUCCUACGGUAGGCAGAAGUAGGGAAUAUGCGGGAAUUGGCGAAAGUCUGACCGAGCGACGCCGCGUGAGUGAAGAAGGUUUUCGGAUCGUAAAACUCUGUUGUUAGAGAAGCGGUAUCUAACCAGAAAGCCACGGCUAACUACGUGCCAGCAGCCGCGGUAAUUC
rnacentral:rRNA from 1 species